GUGGGGAAUAUUGGGCAAUGGGCGAAACCCUGACGCAGCGACGCCGUGUGAGGGAAGAAGGCUUUCGGGUCGUAAACCUCUGUCAGAAAGGAAGAACCUCCCAAGUCCGAAUAGGGCUUGGGACUGACGGUACUUUCAAAGGAAGCACCGGCUAACUCCGUGCCAGCAGCCGCGGUAAUACGGAGGGUGCAAGCGUUAAUCGGAAUCACUGGGCGUAAAGCGCGCGUAGGCCGCUUUGUAAGUCGGACGUGAAAGCCCUCGGCUCAACCGGGGAACUGCGUUCGAUACUGCGAGGCUUGAGUCCUGGAGAGGGUGGCGGAAUUCCGGGUGUAGGAGUGAAAUCCGUAGAUAUCCGGAGGAACACCGGUGGCGAAGGCGGCCACCUGGACAGGUACUGACGCUGAGGCGCGAAAGCGUGGGGAGCAAACAGGAUUAGAAACCCUGGUAGUCC
rnacentral:rRNA from 1 species